AGUGAACGCUGGCGGUAGGCCUAACACAUGCCAGUCGAACGGCAGCACAGUAAGAGCUUGCUCUUACGGGUGGCGAGUGGCGGACGUGUGAGGAAUACAUCGUAAUCUACUUUUUCGUGGGGGAUAACGUAGGGAAACUUACGCUAAUACCGCAUACGACCUACGGGUGAAAGCAGGGGAUCUUCGGACCUUGCGCGAUUGAAUGAGCCGAUGUCGGAUUAGCUAGUUGGCGGGUUAAAGGCCCACCAAGGCGACGAUCCGUAGCUGGUCUGAGAGGAUGAUCAGCCACACUGGAACUGAGACACGGUCCAGACUCCUACGGGAGGCAGCAGUGGGGAAUAUUGGACAAUGGGCGCAAGCCUGAUCCAGCCAUACCGCGUGGGUGAAGAAGGCCUUCGGGUUGUAAAGCCCUUUUGUUGGGAAAGAAAAGCAGCAGGUUAAUACCCCGCUGUUCUGACGGUACCCAAAGAAUAAGCACCGGCUAACUUCGUG
rnacentral:rRNA from 1 species